GAUGAACGCUGGCGGCGUGCCUAAUACAUGCAAGUCGAGCGAACAGACGAGGAGCUUGCUCCUCUGACGUUAGCGGCGGACGGGUGAGUAACACGUGGAUAACCUACCUAUAAGACUGGGAUAACUUCGGGAAACCGGAGCUAAUACCGGAUAAUAUAUUGAACCGCAUGGUUCAAUAGUGAAAGACGGUUUUGCUGUCACUUAUAGAUGGAUCCGCGCCGCAUUAGCUAGUUGGUAAGGUAAAGGCUUACCAAGGCAACGAUGCGUAGCCGACCUGAGAGGGUGAUCGGACACACUGGAACUGAGACACGGUCCAGACUCCUACGGGAGGCAGCAGUAGGGAAUCUUCCGCAAUGGGCGAAAGCCUGACGGAGCAACGCCGCGUGAAUGAUGAAGGUCUUCGGAUCGUAAAACUCUGUUAUUAGGGAAGAACAAAUGUGUAAGUAACUAUGCACGUCUUGACGGUACCUAAUCAGAAAGCCACGGCUAACUACGUG
rnacentral:rRNA from 1 species